rnacentral:rRNA from 1 species
GGAGUUAGCCGGUGCUUCUUCUGUGAGUGAUGUCCUUCCUGCCGGCUAUUAACCCGCAGGCCUUCUUCCUCACUGAAAGUGCUUUACAACCCGAAGGCCUUCUUCACACACGCGGCAUGGCUGGAUCAGGGUUGCCCCCAUUGUCCAAUAUUCCCCACUGCUGCCUCCCGUAGGAGUCUGGGCCGUGUCUCAGUCCCAGUGUGGCUGAUCAUCCUCUCAGACCAGCUACGGAUCGUCGCCUUGGUGAGCCGUUACCUCACCAACCAGCUAAUCCGACAUAGGCUCAUCCGAUAGCGCGAGGCCCGAAGGUCCCCCGCUUUCCCCCGUAGGGCGUAUGCGGUAUUAGCCUGGGUUUCCCCCAGGUUAUCCCCCACUACCGGGCAGAUUCCUAUGCAUUACUCACCCGUCCGCCGCUCGCCACCAGGGAGCAAGCUCCCCGUGCUGCCGCUCGACUUGCAUGUGUUAGGCGUCGCCGCCACGCGUUCAUCUGAGCCACGAACUACGAACCCGUACGA